UCUUCAGAAAUCCCCCAUUUAAGUGAAAAUCACCCCUUUUCUCUUCGAAAACCUCCCAUUUUACCCCAAAAUCACACAUUUUCUCCUCGAAAAUCCCCCAUUGAAGGGUAAAUCAUGCAUUUUCUCUUCGAAAAUCCAACAUUUAGCUAAAAAAUCACGCGUUUAAGCGAAAAUCACCCGUUCUCUCUUCAAAAAUCUCCCAUUUAACCCCAAAAUCACCCAUUUUCUCUUCAAAAUUCCCACAUUUAAUCCGAAAAUCACCCAUUUUCCCUUCAAAAAUCCCCAAUUAUUUGGAAAAUCACGCAUUUUCUCCUCAAAAACCCCCCAUUUAAGGGUAAAUCAUGCAUUUUCUCCUCAAAAAUCCCCCAUGUAACAAAAAAAUCAUGCAUUUAAGCAAAAAUCACCCAUUUUCUCUUCGAAAAUCCGCCAUUUUACCCCAAAAUCACGCAUUUUCUCUUCGAAAAUCCGACAUUUAAGUGAAAAUCACCCCUUUUCUUUUCAAAAAUCCCCCAUUUAACCCAAAAAUCACCCCUUUUCUCCUCGAAAAUCCCCCUUUUUACCCCAAAAUCACGCAUUUUCUCCUCGAAAAUCCCCCAUUUAAGGGUAAAUCAUGCAUUAUCUCUUCGAAAAUCCCCCAAUUAUCCCAAAAAAUCACACAUUUAAGCGAAAAUCACUUGUUUUCUCUUCGAAAAUCCCCCAUUUAACCCGAAAAUCACCCAUUUUCCCUUCAAAAAUCACCAAUUAUUUGGAAAAUCACGCAUUUUCUCCUCAAAAACCCCCCAUUUAAGGGUAAAUCAUCCAUUUUCCCUUCAAAAAUCCUCCAUUGAACUAAAUAACUAUGCACUUAAGCGAAAAUCAAACAUUUUCUCUUUGAAAAUCCCCCAUUUAAGGGUAUAUCAUGCAUUUUAUUUCUGAAAAUCUGCCAUUUAAGGGUAAAUCAUGCAUUUUCUCUUCGAAAAUCCAACAUUUAGCUAAAAAAUAACGCGUUUAAGCAAAAAUCACCCGUUCUCUCUUCAAAAAUCCCCCAUUUAACCCCAAAAUCACCCAUUUUCUCUUCGAAAAUCCGACAUUUAAGUGAAAAUCACCCCUUUUCUUUUCAAAAAUCCCCCAUUUAACCCAAAAAUCACCCCUUUUCUCCUCGAAAAUCCCCCUUUUUACCCCAAAAUCACGCAUUUUCUCCUCAAAAAUCCCCCAUUUAAGGGUAAAUCGUGCAUUUUCUCUUCAAAAAUCCCCCAAUUAUCCCAAAAAAUCACACAUUUAAGCGAAAAUCACCCGUUCCCUCUUCGAAAAUCCCCCAAUUUAACAAAAAAACAUCAUGCAUUUAAGCGAAAAUCAAACAUUUUCUCUUCGAAAAUGCCCCAUUUCACCAAAAAAGCACGCAUUUUC
ensembl:lncRNA